rnacentral:rRNA from 1 species
UAAUACGUAGGGGGCAAGCGUUGUCCGGAUUUAUUGGGCGUAAAGCGCGUGUAGGCGGCCAGGUAGGUCCGUUGUGAAAACUCGAGGCUCAACCUCGAGACGUCGACGGAAACCAUCUGGCUAGAGUCCGGAAGAGGAGAGUGGAAUUCCUGGUGUAGCGGUGAAAUGCGCAGAUAUCAGGAAGAACACCCGUGGCGAAGGCGGCUCUCUGGGACGGUACUGACGCUGAGACGCGAAAGCGUGGGGAGCGAACAGGAUUAGAUACCCUGGUAGUCCACGCCGUAAACGAUGGGAACUAGGUGUGGGCGGUGUCGACUCCGUCCGUGCCGAAGCUAACGCAUUAAGUUCCCCGCCUGGGGAGUACGGCCGCAAGGCUA